rnacentral:lncRNA from 1 species
UUCUGGAUCAAAGCAGACAUGCGGCCGGCGCUCUGCGAUCCAAGGCACACUGGGGUCUUUCAUCCGGUGUUUUUAAAAAGGAGGAAACAAAAGGCUCAGAGGCAGGGCCCCAGGUGCGCUCGCCCGCGGGGGCUGCGGCGCGGACGACCGAAGAAAACCACGACUUCCUGGAAAAGUCUUCACCGUAAAUAUUAAUCUCUUUGGCAUGAAGAGGAAAACACUGCAGCUAAUUUUUCAUGGGAUAACAAAAAUAUAAACUGCAAUUUCUUUUAUUUUUUCCCUUUCGAUGGUCUUUUUAAACGAGGAGUAAAGAUUUCAACGCCAGGUCCAUUUUCCAAAUUUUGUACCAGAACCUUGAGGAUGCUUGUCUCUCGCGCGCUUCUCCGCAGACCGAACCCUCUCCGGAACUCAGAGCUGUUCACCCAAGUCAGCGGAGGAGGCCUCCUGGGACUUGAGCCUGAGGGUGGCGAAGAACCCUAGGCAGAGAUCAUCAACUUGGUACCGAUGAGUGACGCGGAGCUUGAACAUUCCAGCGACUUGCUCCA